GUGAUGAUGGGUCGUGAGACCCCUACCUUGUAAUAUUAUGUGUGUGGCUCUUCCGAGCCUUCUAAAUAAAGUUGUUAUGUUUAUGGUUAUGUUGUGAUGCCAUCGAUGUAUCUAUACAUAUCGGUAUGCCAUGCGUAAGUGUGUUCUACUUUAUAUGUAUGGGGUUCGAUUACCUAGCCGUAGGCUUUAGUAGCAUUCCUUACAGGGAAAUGCCCCUUUGUGAUCCAACGAGCCAUGGUAGUUCGCUACUGCUCCGGACACAUUGGUUGACCGGCA
rnacentral:lncRNA from 1 species